rnacentral:lncRNA from 1 species
CCUGGUUGGAUUUUUCUCAGGUUUUUGCCUGCCAUAUGAGUUCUGUUAUACUCACAGACAUCAUUCAAACAGUAGUAAUACUAAUAAUAUGCAUAUCCUACCUUCUGAGUCUGAGUAGGAGGCAGUUUAAUUUGGGUACGUUUUUCAUCCGGCUGUGAAAAUACUGCCCCCUAUAGUGAAGAGGAUAAGGACUUGCAGCGAGUUGUGAACUUCAUCAACAACUAUGCAUAGGAAAAUGCAAUAGUAUUACGAGAAUGCCACCCUUGACACAAACACUUUGGUGGAAAGUGUCUCUACAAGGACACUUGAUAAACACUUGAGGUAUGUGUAGUCUAGCUGUCUUCCUUCAGGAAUCUGUGGAGAGAAUUGCUGCCCCACAUCUUAAGCACUAAGCCUAGGACAGACCUGUGUUGGCAGUGCGGGAAGAAAAACUAUCAGGUCUUCAGAUCUGCCAAUCUGCCAGAAGCUGUUAAAUCAGCCAAGCUGAAGAAGGAAGAGCAACAUCUCCUGCUUGUUCAGAGUGAGUGCUCUGUCUACCAGAAGAUGGAUGCUGACUGCAAGACCACCUGUCAAGACCUGCAGCUGUCUCUGGGGGGCUAUACUGAACCAGCAAGCUGAUUUUGCUCAGCAAGACCUGAGCCCUUGGACCAUGCCUCAGGACUACCUGGCAUGAUGACUCCUUGCUGUCCCCAGUCCACCUGGCCAUGCUGCUGCUCCAGUUUCAACUGUUCUGCCUGCGGCUAUGGAACCCUGACCUGUUCACCAGAUGUGCUACCUGUCCCAG